UACGUAGGGGGCAAGCGUUGUCCGGAAUCAUUGGGCGUAAAGAGCGUGUAGGCGGCUUGGUAAGUCCGCUGUGAAAGUCCAGGGCUCAACCCUGGAAUGCCGGUGGAAACUGUCAAGCUUGAGUCCGGAAGAGGCGAGUGGAAUUCCUGGUGUAGCGGUGAAAUGCGCAGAGUAAUCAGGAGGAACACCAAUGGCGAAGGCAGCUCGCUGGGACGGUACUGACGCUGAGACGCGAAAGCGUGG
rnacentral:rRNA from 1 species